CAAGAAGACCCUAAGCAAUUUUAAAAAUAGUAAUUUUUAGUUUCAAAGAAUGCUAUUUUUUAGUUGGGGCAACUAAGAAAUAUUAUAAACUUUUUUAAAAUAAAAUGAUCCAUUAUUAAUGAUUAUUUGAAAAAAUACUCUAGGGAUAACAGCGUAAUAAUUUUUGAUAGAACAUAUAGACAAAAUAGUUUGCGACCUCGAUGUUGGAUUAGGAUACUUUUUUAAUGAAGAUGUUAAAAAAAGAAGUUUGUUCAACUUUUAAAGUCCUACUUGAUCUGAGUUCA
rnacentral:rRNA from 1 species